rnacentral:lncRNA from 1 species
UCUCCAGCCCCCUAGACUUCAAUUUUUAAAGCAUCAGGGGUAUUUUAUAAAUCUAAAUGUGAUAAUGCAGCUUAUCAUUCUAGUACUUAAGAGACUGAGGCAGAAAUAAUGGAAAAUAAGGCCUACCUAGCCUAUAUGAUGAGAUUGUCUCAAAAAAGCCCAAAAUAAGGAAAGCCCGUAAGUUUUAUAGAACUCAAGCUUACAAAAAUUGAAUAAGGGUAAGGGGUGGGCUUCGCUCUUUUUUGGUUUUUUCGAGGCAGGAUUUCUCUGUAUAGCCCUGGCUGUCCUGGAACUCACUGUAGACCAGGCUGACCUUGAACUCAGAAAUCUGUCUGCCUUCCAAGUGCUGGGAUUAAAGGCGUGCACCACCACACCCGGCUUUUUUUUUUUAAAGAUCUAUUUAUUUUAUGUAUGUAAGUACACUAUCGCUCUCUUCGGGCUCACCAAGCAUCAGAUCCAAUUACAGAUGGUUGUGAGCCACCAUGUGCUUGCUGGGAAUUGAACUUAAGACCUCUAGAAGAACAGUAGGUGCUUUUAAAUGCCAAGCCAUUUCACCAGUCUAUGAGACAAAUUUUGUUUUGUUUUGUUUUUGGGUUUUUCGGGACAGGGUUUCUUUAUAUAGCCCUGGCUGUCCUGGAACUCAGUCUGUAGACCAGGCGGGCCUCGAAUUCAGAAAUCCGCCUGCCUCUGCCUCCCGAGUGCUGGGACUAAAGGCGUGCGUCACCACGCCUGGCGAGACAAAUUUUUUAGAUGUAAAUUAUAAGACAUUUGUACUGUCAGGUUUUCUGCUGCUGAGAUAUACACCUUUGCACCCAGAUGUGUGCUCUUCAUUUUCCUGUUUGUGAUGGGCUCACGUAAUGCCAGCUGAUUUAUAACUUAAUGUGUAGUUGAGGGUGUGUGGCUGUGGGUUUCUGAUUCUUCUACUUCCUCCUGGGAUUACAAACCCCUGAUGCCAGGCCUAAUUUGUAUCUAGUCCUGAAGUUUGAACCCAAAAGUUUGUGCAUGUUGGGUAAGCCCUGAUUUUACUUUGAAAUAGAUAAUUAAUUUUAUGUACUAAAAAGUUCACUGAUUUAAAUAAACUCUUUGCUUUUUUAGUUUUUUAAAUGAGACAGACGUAGCUUCCUGCUAGAGUACUUGGCUAGCAUGCAUGAAGCCCUAAAUUCUACCCCAGCAUCACAGAAAGGAAACAGAAAAGAUUUAUUAGAGCAAAAGAAUGUUGUGAAAAUGUUGUGUUUUAAUAAGGGUUUUCAGUUUCACAUUAGGAUCUUGGAAGAUGGAGAAAUCCAGACAGAAUGAUGUCUCAGAUGGACAAGUGUUGUAAUCUUUCUGUUCUUGGCCUGUCAUGUUUUGUUUUAGGGAAAGGGGACCUAUUUUAUUCUUGAUGACAUAAGUGAAGCCUGAUGGCAGGCUGAUGAUAUUUGCACAAGAUAGGAAGUGUGGAGACAAUACAUUGAUGGUGUAAGGGAAGUCAGUAGAAUUGUAGUGUGAGAUUGACUGUGUAAAGGAACAAAGACAACUGGGUGUCUGUGUUAGCAGCGUAAAGUAGAAUUAGUAGAGCAAGGGCAUAGCCCUCGUUUAUUCUCCUCUAUCACUUAUGAGCCACACUGUUAAAUUUCCUUGUGGGUAUUACUGGGCAGAUUUUACUUCAUCUUUUGUUUGGAAGAGAUCAACUAGAGCAUGAAGAAGGCACUUGAAAUCUGUGGUGGGUGAGUUGUUAAACCAUAGCAUUUGGGGGUUGGACAUGGUGGCACACACUAGGGAAGACAUGUGGAGAGAGUUUGAAUUCAGCCUUGUCUACAUACACAAGAAGUUAUAAUGCAGAGACUGUCUCUGGAAAGUAAAGCCAACCAACAAAACAUAGGAUUUACUUAGAAGGAAAAAAUGAGGUUAGCAAAAUGUUAAGGGAUACCC